rnacentral:rRNA from 1 species
CACGCAGGCGGUUGGAUAAGUUAGAUGUGAAAGCCCCGGGCUCAACCUGGGAAUUGCAUUUAAAACUGUCCAGCUAGAGUCUUGUAGAGGGGGGUAGAAUUCCAGGUGUAGCGGUGAAAUGCGUAGAGAUCUGGAGGAAUACCGGUGGCGAAGGCGACUGUCUGGAUACAUACUGACGCUCAGGUACGAAAGCGUGGGGAGCAAACA